GAAAACGACUGCUAAGACUGGAUAGGAAAUUAAGAGGCAUCUUUUAAUUUUUAAAAGACCUUUUUCGAAAGGUAUGCUUAAAGAGGGGCUCGCGCCACAUUAGUUAGUUGGUAAGGUAAAGGCUUACCAAGACGAUGAUGUGUAGCUGGACUGAGAGGUUGAACAGCCACAUUGGGACUGAGACACGGCCCAAACUCCUACGGGAGGCAGCAGUAAGGAAUUUUUGGCAAUGGAGGAAACUCUGACCGAGCGACGCCGCGUGAACAAUGAAGUACUUCGGUAUGUAAAGUUCUUUUAUUGAAAAAGAAAAAAUAGUGGAAAAACUAUCUUGACAUUAUUCAAUGAAUAAGCCCCGGCUAAUUAUGUGCCAGCAGCCGCGGUAAUACAUAAGGGGCGAGCGUUAUCCGGAAUUAUUGGGCGUAAAGGGUGCGUAGGCGGUUUGAUAAGUCUAUAGUUUAAAUGCAGCGCUUAACGCUGUAGCGCUAUAGAAACUGUCUGACUAGAGUUAGAUAGAGGCAAGCGGAAUUCCAUGUGUAGCGGUAAAAUGCGUAAAUAUAUGGAGGAACACCAGAGGCGUAGGCGGCUUGCUGGGUCUUAACUGACGCUGAGGCACGAAAGCGUGGGGAGCAAACAGGAUUAGAUACCCUGGUAGUCCACGCCGUAAACGAUGAGUACUAAGUGUCGGGUUUCGGCUCGGUACUGAAGUUAACACAUUAAGUACUCCGCCUGAGUAGUACGUACGCAAGUAUGAAACUUAAAGGAAUUGACGGGACCCCGCACAAGCGGUGGAUCAUGUUGUUUAAUUCGAAGAUACACGAAAAACCUUACCAGGUCUUGACAUAAUUUUGCGACAUUAUCGAAAUAUAAUGAAGGUUAUCAGAAUUACAGGUGGUGCAUGGUUGUCGUCAGCUCGUGUCGUGAGAUGUUAGGUUAAGUCCUAAAACGAGCGCAACCCUUGUCGUUAGUUGCGACCACGUAAUGGUGAGCACUUUAGCGAGACUGCCAAUGAAAAAUUGGAGGAAGGUGAGGAUUACGUCAAAUCAUCAUGCCCCUUAUGAUCUGGGCUACAAACGUGAUACAAUGGCUGUUACAAAGAGUAGCUACAACGUGAGUUUUUAGCCAAUCUCAAAAAAACAGUCUCAGUUCGGAUUGAAGUCUGCAACUCGACUUCAUGAAGUUGGAAUCGCUAGUAAUCGCGAAUCAGCAUGUCGCGGUGAAUACGUUCACGGGGUUUGUACACACCGCCCGUCAA
rnacentral:rRNA from 1 species